AGCAGCCGCGGUAAUUCCAGCUCCAAUAGCGUAUAUUAAAGUUGUUGCAGUUAAAAAGCUCGUAGUUGAAUUUCGGGAUUAGUACGUUGGUCGUGCCUUCGGUACGUACUGGUGUUACUGAUUCCUACCUUCUGACGAACCAUCAUGUCAUUAAUUUGGUGUGGUGGGGAAUCAGGACUGUUACUUUGAAAAAUUAGAGUGUUUAAAGCAGGCUCGCGCUUGAAUACAUUAGCAUGGAAUAAUGAAAUAGGACGUUGACCCUAUUUUGUUGGUUUCUAGGAUUGACGUAAUGAUUAAUAGGGAUAGUUGGGGGCAUUAGUAUUCAAUUGUCAGAGGUGAAAUUCUUGGAUUUAUUGAAGACUAACUACUGCGAAAGCAUUUGCCAAGGAUGUUUUCAUUAAUCAAGAACGAAAGUUAGGGGAUCGAAGACGAUCAGAUACCGUCGUAGUCUUAACCAUAAACUAUGCCGACUAGGGAUCGGAUG
rnacentral:rRNA from 1 species